rnacentral:rRNA from 1 species
CGUGUAGGUGGCCUGCCAAGUCGGGUGUGAAAGCCCUCGGCUCAACCGAGGAAUUGCACCCGAUACUGGCGGGCUAGAGUCCGGGAGGGGGUAGCGGAAUUCCCAGUGUAGCGGUGAAAUGCGUAGAUAUUGGGAAGAACACCAGUGGCGAAGGCGGCUACCUGGACCGGAACUGACGCUGAGGCGCGAAAGCUAGGGGAGCGAAUG